rnacentral:rRNA from 1 species
UGGGGAAUAUUGCGCAAUGGGCGAAAGCCUGACGCAGCGACACCGCGUGCGGGAUGAAGGCCUUCGGGUUGUAAACCGCUUUCGGCAGGGAAGAAGCGAAAGUGACGGUACCUGCAGAAGAAGCUCCGGCUAACUACGUGCCAGCAGCCGCGGUAAGACGUAGGGAGCGAGCGUUGUCCGGAUUCAUUGGGCGUAAAGCGCGCGUAGGCGGCUUUGCAAGUCGGUUGUGAAAACCAGAGGCUCAACCUCUGGCCUGCAUCCGAAACUGCAUCGCUUGAGGUAGGUAGGGGAGAUCGGAAUUCCUGGUGUAGCGGUGGAAUGCGCAGAUAUCAGGAGGAACACCGGGUGGCGAAGGCGGAUCUCUGGGCCUUACCUGACGCUGAGGUGCGAAAGCUAGGGGAGCGAACAGGAUUAGAUACCCUGGUAGUCCAUGCCGUAAACGUUGGGCACUAGGUGUGGGUCUCAACCAACGAGAUCCGCGCCGUCGCUAACG